GGGCUUGUAGCUCAAUGGUCAGAGCAGAGCACUCAUAAUGCUUUGGUUGUAGGUUCAAGUCCUACCGAGCCCACCA
rnacentral:tRNA from 1 species